AUUGAACGCUGGCGGCAUGCCUUACACAUGCAAGUCGAACGGUAACGCGGGACAACCUGGCGACGAGUGGCGAACGGGUGAGUAAUAUAUCGGAACGUGCCCAGUAGUGGGGGAUAGCCCGGCGAAAGCCGGAUUAAUACCGCAUGAGACCUGAGGGUGAAAGCGGGGGAUCGCAAGACCUCGCGCUAUUGGAGCGGCCGAUAUCAGAUUAGGUAGUUGGUGGGGUAAAGGCCUACCAAGGCGACGAUCCGUAGCUGGUCUGAGAGGAUGAUCAGCCACACUGGGACUGAGACACGGCCCAGACUCCUACGGGAGGCAGCAGUGGGGAAUAUUGGACAAUGGGCGCAAGCCUGAUCCAGCAAUACCGCGUGUGUGAAGAAGGCCUGAGGGUUGUAAAGCACUUUCAAUGGGAAGGAACACCUAACGGUUAAUACCUGUUAGACUGACAUUACCCAUACAAGAAGCACCGGCUAACUCCGUGCCAGCAGCCGCGGUAAU
rnacentral:rRNA from 1 species